rnacentral:rRNA from 1 species
AUUGAACGCUGGCGGCAGGCCUAACACAUGCAAGUCGAACGGAGCGGCGAACGGGUGAGUAAUGCAUAGGAAUCUGCCUGGUAGUGGGGGAUAACGUCCGGAAACGGGCGCUAAUACCGCAUACUAUUGGAUGAGCCUAGGUCGGAUUAGCUAGUUGGUGGGGUAAAGGCCUACCAAGGCGACGAUCCGUAACUGGUCUGAGAGGAUGAUCAGUAACACGGGAACUGAGACACGGGCCAGACUCCUACGGGAGGCAGCAGUGGGGAAUCUUGGACAAUGGGCGAAAGCCUGAUCCAGCCAUUCCGCGUGUGUGAGGAAGGUCUUCGGAUUGUAAAGCACUUUAAGUUGGGAGGCGGUACCAGCAGAAUAAGCACCGGCUAACUUCGUGCCAGCAGCCGCGGUAAUAC